CGCCGCACUCUGAAGGGGAAAUCAGAUAUACGGAGCUUUUUUGCCCGACGACCACCGAUCCAAUUCCCGUUUUUUCGCACAAAAUGUCUCCGAGGCGAUGUUAUGAUUUCGUUUUCGGGAGAAGGACGCUGUCACAUCGCGAUCGGCUGUGGAGGGGGAGGGGCCGCGCAAUCACGCCCUACGUGAAAACACCGCUCCCGCUGACCGCUGGGAGCGCCACAGCACCGCCAAAGACAAGCAAUUCACAAGUCCGUCCCUUCAACUUCUUACAAAUGUGCGCUACUGGAGAGACGGUGUGCCCAUGAACCUGCGGAGUCCCACACCUCUGUGCACGCUAGGGCUACAGCGACACGGCCUGAAAAUCACGAAGAAUUAUCUAACAACGUGAGGCAGGAGGUUAA